CCUUACAACUUUUUAAU
rnacentral:tRNA from 1 species